rnacentral:tRNA from 1 species
AGAAAUAAAGGGUCUAAGAAAAAGCUGCUAACUUUUUUCUUUAAUGGUUAAACUCCAUUUAUAUUUCU